rnacentral:rRNA from 1 species
AGUCGAGCGAUGAAGUUUCUUCGGAAAUGGAUUAGCGGCGAACGGGUGAGGAACACGUGAAGAAUCUGCCCUCCACUUUGGGAUAACACCGGGAAACCGGUGCUAAUACCGAAUAUUGAAACAUAAGUGGCAUCACUGAGUUUUGAAAGAAUUUCGGUGGAGGAUGACUUCGCGGCCUAUCAGCUAGUUGGUGAGGUAAUGGCUCACCAAGGCAACGACGGGUAGCCGGCCUGAGAGGGCGACCGGCCACACUGGGACUGAGACACGGCCCAGACUCCUACGGGAGGCAGCAGUGGGGAAUAUUGGGCAAUGGAGGAAACUCUGACCCAGCGACGCCGCGUGCGGGAUGAAGGCCUUCGGGUUGUAAACCGCUUUCAGUAGGGAAGAAGCGAAAGUGACGGUACCUACAAAAGAAGCACCGGCUAACUAUGUGCCAGCAGCCGCGGUAAUACAUAGGGUGCAAGCGUUGUCCGGAAUUAUUGGGCGUAAAGAGCUCGUAGGUCGUUUGUUACGUCGGAUGUGAAAACCUGAGGCUCAACCUCAGGCCUGCAUUCGAUACGGGCAAACUAGAGUUUGGUAGGGGAGACUGGAAUUCCUGGUGUAGCGGUGGAAUGCGCAGAUAUCAGGAGGAACGCCAAUGGCGAAGGCAGGUCUCUGGGCCAAUACUGACACUGAGGAGCGAAAGUCUGGGGAGCGAACAGGAUUAGAUACCCUGGUAGUCCAGACCGUAAACGGUGGGCACUAGUUGUGGGGACCUUCCACGGUUUCUGCGACGCAGCUAACGC